rnacentral:rRNA from 1 species
GGUAUGGGAUGAGCUUGCGUCCGAUUAGCUAGUUGGCGGGGCAACGGCCCACCAAGGCGACGAUCGGUAGCCGGCCUGAGAGGGUGAUCGGCCGCAUUGGGACUGAGAUACGGCCCAGACUCCUACGGGAGGCAGCAGUAGGGAAUAUUGCACAAUGGGGGAAACCCUGAUGCAGCAACGCCACGUGUGGGAAGAAGCAUUUCGGUGUGUAAACCACUGUCAUGAGGGAAUAAGGCCCGCCUUCGGACGGGAUUGAAUGUACCUUGAGAGGAAGCACCGGCAAACUUCGUGCCAGCAGCCGCGGUAAUACGAGGGGUGCAAGCGUUGUUCGGAAUUACUGGGCGUAAAGGGAGCGUAGGCGGAGAUUCAAGCGGAUUGUACAAUCCCGGGGCCCAACCCCGGCUCUGCAGUCCGAACUGGAUCUCUUGGAUAGUUCAGGGGCAGGC